rnacentral:lncRNA from 1 species
UACCUAUGUCACCAAAGUUGACUUACCUUUUCUGGAGCACAUCCUGAAAGAACUCCAGAGUUAAGCGUGCUUGAGCUGGAGUAGUGGAAGGAUGGGUGACCUAUCGGGAAGUGAUUCGCGAUAGCAUGCGAGUGAGGCCAAACCAUGGGGAAAUGUCGGGUGGUGAUUGCAGGGUCAGUAAACAAUGAUUCCGAGCCUUGGAAAAUUAACGGACCGACCGUCAGACAGGAUGGGGCCCACGGGCCGAGAGAGCGGG